AACAAGGAAAUAUGAUGUUUCAUGUCGGAUUCUGUUCCGGUCUUAGUCCAGUUGGUCCACUCAACCGCUUCUUCAUAUCAAAGCGUCACCGUCUUCAUCUCUGCAGUUCACACUGGCCACCAGUGGGUGAUGCCGCACAGUCUUGCUGCUCCACUUGUGGGCGUCCUGUAGUCCUGGCUCUAGGAAGUACAAGCAUGCCCCGAAGCCCGCCAGCACCAGAACCGACACCAGCAGAUAGAGCGGCACGAACCAGUCCAAGAACAGCCACGACAUUGCUGCUGCCGCUGAUGGAGAGGAGAGACAGAGGGAAACAGCGGUGGGCAGGACCUUCCACUACGCAGACAGGCCGUCAGGCAUCAAAUCUCAAGAACUCCUCAGGGGGUACCAGGAUGGACACCGUCGCAGUGGGCAUUGAGUCAGCCCCAUGAUUACACACCAGGGCCAAGGCCGUGAUGUCCUUGAUGCGGCGCCAUUUGGGGUUGGCCGAGCAGAGUUUGCCGGUCCAAACUUUUCUGAAAGCUUGCCGGAUUUGACCAGAAUGUCACGUAACAUGAUGAAAAAGCUGUCAGAGAAAAUAACCUUCUUGGAGGUGGAAGCUGUCUAACUACAGCGAUAUUGCUUCGGAACCCCAGGUGAACAACAACAAUGCAUUCUCAUGU